GGAUGUGAGGGCGAUCUGGCUGCGGCAUCUGUCACCCCAUUGAUCUCCAGGGUUGAUUCGGCUGAUCUGGCUGCUAGGCGGAGUCCCUCCUCCCUCACUGCUCCAUGUCGCGUCCUCCGAAGCUGUAUGCUCUGUCGAAGAACACCUUAGAGGAGGACCCCUCUUCGGUUCGGUCAAGGGUAUCCGAGUAGCUGCGUCCCUGCUAGAACCUCCAAACAAGCUCUCAAAGAAGAUACACCAAUGGCCAACAAGCACAAGAAAAGAUGCUGAACCCAACAAAUCAUUA
rnacentral:snRNA from 1 species